rnacentral:rRNA from 1 species
ACUGGAGUCUGCAACCCGACUCCACGAAGCUGGAUUCGCUAGUAAUCGCGCAUCAGCCACGGCGCGGUGAAUACGUUCCCGGGCCUUGUACACACCGCCCGUCAAGCCAUGGGAGGCCGGGGGGUACCUGAAGUGCGUAACCGCGAGGAGCGCCCUAGGGUAAAACUGGUGACUGGGGCUAAGUCGUAACAAGGUAUC